UUGGAGGGCAAGUCUGGUGCCAGCAGCCGCGGUAAUUCCAGCUCCAAUAGCGUAUAUUAAAGUUGUUGCAGUUAAAAAGCUCGUAGUUGAAUUUCGGGGUCAAUAAGUUGGUCAUGCCAAUGGUAUGCACUGGCUUUAUUGAUUCCUACCUCUUGACGAACUGUGAUGCCAUUAAUUUGGUGUUGCAAGGAAUCAGGACUGUUACCUUGAAAAAAUUAGAGUGUUUAAAGCAAGCUUACGCUUGAAUACAUUAGCAUGGAAUAAUGAAAUAGGACGUUUGAUCCUAUUUUGUUGGUUUCUAGGAUCGACGUAAUGAUUAAUAGGGAUAGUUGGGGGCAUUAGUAUUCAAUUGUCAGAGGUGAAAUUCUUGGAUUUAUUGAAGACUAACUACUGCGAAAGCAUUUGCCAAGGAUGUUUUCAUUAAUCAAGAACGAAAGUUAGGGGAUCGAAGACGAUCAGAUACCGUCGUAGUCUUAACCAUAAACUAUGCCGACUAGGGAUCGGAUGAUGUUAAUUUUUUAAUGACUCAUUCGGCGCCUUACGGGAAAC
rnacentral:rRNA from 1 species